rnacentral:rRNA from 1 species
CUACGGGAUGCAGCAGUGAGGAAUAUUGCACAAUGGGGGGAACCCUGAUGUAGCAACGCCGCGUGGAGGAUGACGCAUUUCGGUGUGUAAACUCCUUUUAUAUGUCAAGAAAAUGACGGUAGCAUAUGAAUAAGCACCGGCUAACUCCGUGCCAGCAGCCGCGGUGAUACGGAGGGUGCAAGCGUUACUCGGAAUCACUGGGCGUAAAGGACGCGUAGGCGGGUUGGAAAGUCAGGUGUGAAAUCCUACAGCUUAACUGUAAAACUGCACUUGAAACUUCUAAUCUAGAGUAUGGGAGGGGGAGAUGGAAUUAGUGGUGUAGGGGUAAAAUCCGUAGAUAUCACUAGGAAUACCUAAAGCGAAGGCGAUCUCCUGGAACAUUACUGACGCUAAGGCGUGAAAGCGUGGGGAGCAAACAGGAUUAGAUACCCUUGUAGUC